GACGAACGCUGGCGGCGUGGAUUAGGCAUGCAAGUCGAACGGUAUCAUCCUUUCGGGGGUGAGAGAGUGGCGAACUGGUGAGUAACACGUAGGUUAUCUACCCUCAAGACGGGGACAACCCAGGGAAACUUGGGCUAAUACCGGAUGUGAGCAACUUUUAGUUGUUUGAAAGGUGGCGUAAGCUGUCGCUUGGGGAUGAGCCUGCGUCCUAUUAGUUAGUUGGUGAGGUAACGGCUCACCUAGGCAAUGAUAGGUAGGCGGCCUUAACGGGUAAAAAGGUCGCCCACACUGGGAUUGAGAUACGGCCCAGACUCCUACGGGAGGCAGCAGUCGAGAAUAGUCUACAAUGGUCGGAAGACUGAUAGUGCGACGCCGCGUGAACGAUGAAUCCCUUCGGGGUGUAAAGUUCUUUUAUAUGUGAGCAGUGCUUCUUAUAUUAACAGUAUGGGGAGAGAGAUAUUAGCAUAUGAAUAAGCAACGGCUAACUCCGUGCCAGCAGCCGCGGU
rnacentral:rRNA from 1 species